rnacentral:rRNA from 1 species
CAGAGACUGCAAGCGUUAUUCGGAUUCACUGGGCGUAAAGGGUGCGCAGGCGGUUGGGUGUGUCAGAUGUGAAAUCCCGAGGCUCAACCUCGGAACUGCGUCUGAAACUACUCGACUAGAGUACUGGAGAGGGUAACGGAAUUCACGGUGUAGCAGUGAAAUGCGUAGAUAUCGUGAGGAACACCAGAGGCGAAGGCGGUUACCUGGACAGUUACUGACGCUCAGGCACGAAAGCAUGGGGAGCAAAAGGGAUUAGAUACCCCUGUAGUCCACGCCCUAAACGGUGCACACUAGGUCUUAGCGGAUUCGACCCCACUAGGGCCCAAGCUAACGCGUUAAGUGUGCCGCCUGAGGACUACGGUCGCAAGACUA